GAUGAACGCUGGCGGCGUGCCUAAUACAUGCAAGUCGAGCGAACAGACGAGGAGCUUGCUCCUCUGACGUUAGCGGCGGACGCGUGAGUAACACGUGGAUAACCUACCUAUAAGACUGGGAUAACUUCGGGAAACCGGAGCUAAUACCGGAUAAUAUAUUGAACCGCAUGGUUCAAUAGUGAAAGACGGUUUUGCUGUCACUUAUAGAUGGAUCCGCGCCGCAUUAGCUAGUUGGUAAGGUAACGGCUUACCAAGGCAACGAUGCGUAGCCGACCUGAGAGGGUGAUCGGCCACACUGGAACUGAGACACGGUCCAGACUCCUACGGGAGGCAGCAGUAGGGAAUCUUCCGCAAAGGGCGAAAGCCUGACGGAGCAACGCCGCGUGAGUGAUGAAGGUCUUCGGAUCGUAAAACUCUGUUAUUAGGGAAGAACAAAUGUGUAAGUAACUAUGCACGUCUUGACGGUACCUAAUCAGAAAGCCACGGCUAACUACGUG
rnacentral:rRNA from 1 species